UUAACUAUUAUAUAGUACUCAGACGACACUAAUAUUCAGAGUUUGGGGUCCUCUGGCGGACGCACACCAGCCGAAGCCGGUGGUCGACAGAACCGAACGAUCCGCCAAAGCAACAAAGGUAAUGAUAACACAGGGUGGGAGAUCUACCCGUAAGGGCAAGAACUCUGUAAUGAUCCCUCCGCAGGUUCACCUACGGAGA
rnacentral:misc_RNA from 1 species